rnacentral:rRNA from 1 species
GACGAACGCUGGCGGCGUGCUUAACACAUGCAAGUCGAACGGAAAGGUCAUGCUUUUGUGGCGUGCUCGAGUGGCGCACGGGUGUGUAAAACGUGAGUAACCCCUCCCUAACUUUGGGAUAACAUCCGGGAACUGGGGCUAAUACCCGAUAUGAGCUCUUGCUCCAUGGGGGGGGAUGGAAAGUUUCGGCGGUUGUGGAUGGACUCGCGGGCCACCCGCCUGUUGGUGGGGUAGUGGCGUACAAAGCCCUCGACGGGUAGCCGGCCUUGGAGGGUGAACAGGCACAUUGGGACUGCGAGACGGACCAGACUCCUACGGGAGGCAGCGGUGGGGAGUCUUGCGCAGCGGGCGGGAGCGUGAGACAGCAACGCCGGGUGCGGGAUGACGGCCUACGGGGUAUGAACAGCUUUGGCAGGUGACGAAGCGUGAGUGACGGUAAUGGGUCAGGAAGCACCGGCUAACUACGUG